rnacentral:lncRNA from 1 species
CAGUUCAUACUCAUUCAAAAGUAGAUAUUAAAUAUAGAACAUGCUUACUAGACAUAGUUAGCUUCAUUUUUCGUAUGAAUAUCUAUGAAUCAACAGAUACACUUUGAAUCAAACUGAUCUCAAACAAAGAGUUUUUCAUCUAAUCAUAUUUACAUGCUCAAAUACCCAUCAAUAGGACUUUCUUAUACAGCUUCCAAACAUGAUAUUUAACAUUGAAAUUAGACCGUUAACUCCAAACCAAAGCACAACUUCAUAAUAUGGAAUUCAACAACUCAUUUCACACCUAUUAUUACAUAUAACUACAUAACAUGAAACAGUAAAAGAACAGAGAAAAACUAAGUCGAAUAAGCUUGUAUUACAAUAAUUCCACUCAGAUUACACAGUCAGCAUUCAAUUAGUGUUCAAGGACUAUAUAGAUACCUGGAAAUGAACAGAAAUAAGAAAUGAAGGGUCAGCAAUAACAAUAGUAGAAGUCAGCACCAGCAGAACCAAUUUCAAACAGAGAAAUGAUGUGCAACAAUCCAAAAAUUAGUUUCAACCGAGCAAUAACCACAACAAACUUCAAACCAAACUUUUAAAACCCAAGUUCAGUCCAUUUUUACCCCAGAUGAAUCAGAAAUUGAAAACUUUAGAAAUCGCAGAAGAAAUUUCAAUAGAACAGUGAUAUUUUUUAAAAAUGUUUUGGCUCUUUUUGAUUUUUUUUCUAAAUUUUAUCCCUUCAAAAUCUGACUUGAAAGCCCCUUUAUAGGCAAGCUCUAAAUUAGCCUUAAGGAGUCAAUUUUUGCAUUUCAACCCUUUUCUAAUUUUGGUUUUUGCUUAAAUAACCUUAGUUUAACUAUUAGAAUUUCAAAACAACGCCUACCCAACUUUCUAGAAGCUUCUUGUUCUGUUACAUACAGAUUUCCUUAUCCAAUUUUCUCAAAUUACCCCCACAAACCCCUGAAAUUACCCAAAGAAACCAAGCGGGCAUGGUUCAAGUCGGCCUAGUAUUUCAAUUCGACAUAUGGGAUAAUCCCUUUCCCUUUGGACCCAAGUCUAGUUCAAGAAUUCAAACAGAAUGAUAGAAGGACAACAUAGUCAAAUGAAUUUUUUUGGGCCAAAUGUUCUCCCGAGACCAAAACUAAAAGGAAACAACAACAAAACAAAAAAAACUAGACUAAACUAAUGAAUGUGAACAAUCUAAGAAAAAUAGCAAUUAGCAUUUAAACUAAACCAAAAGAACAUAUGCAAUAGCGAUUUUGAGAAAAGAAGAAAAAUUGAAGAAUAUAAUAAUAAAAAUGGAGAAGAGAAAGCUAGGGAUACCUAUCACAACUAAGUGGACAAACAACUUGAACCAAGCUUCAAUGACUCCUUGAUUUUGUGGCCUAGAGAGACCUUAAUCGUGUGUUCUCAGUCAAGAACACACGACAAAAAUUUAGUUUUGACCUCAAAUCCUUAAAACCUCGCGGAUUUGGAUAUUAUUGGGGUUUAGGGUUCAUAUCUUUGAACUAAAGUUCGAACAGUUCUAAGGAGAUUUGCAACCAACAGAGUAGGGACUUGGAAUGAGAGGGGAUUGAGAGUUAUUUGGUGUUAAUUUACUGAAGGUUUGGAGGUGGAUUUCCAUUGAACAUAGCCGAUUCACCCCGGGGGGUGUUCUCUGAUAAGAGAGAUGAGAGAAGGAGAUGAAGUGAAUGAAUAGGGUACUAG